GCCACUAACACUGAUCAAAUCGAAAUGACCAACAUCAAAGGAAAAAAUGAAAAGAAGAAGGAUUGAGACAAAAUCCGACUCUAUUUUUAUUUACCUUUUUUGCUUUUUUGUUUUGUUAUCUUAUCAAUCUUCUUCAUAACA
rnacentral:ribozyme from 1 species